rnacentral:rRNA from 1 species
UAGAGUUUGAUCCUGGCUCAGGAUCAACGCUGGCGGCGUGCCUAAUGCAUGCAAGUCGAACGGGAGCCCCUUUGGGGGUCGACCGUGGCGGACGGGUGAGGAGCACGUAGCUAACCUGCCCUGGUGUGGGGGAUAGGCCUCGGAAACGGGGUGUAAGACCGCAUACGCUCUGCGCUGGAGACAGUGGAGAGGAAAGGCUUCUUUGGAAGUCGCACCUGGAGGGGGCUGCGUCCGAUUAGCUGGUUGGUGGGGUAAUGGCCUACCAAGGCGAUGAUCGGUCGCUGGUCUGAGAGGACGACCAGCCACACGGGGACUGAGACACGGCCCCGACUCCUACGGGAGGCAGCAGCAAGGAAUUUUCCGCAAUGGGCGCAAGCCUGACGGAGCAACGCCGCGUGCGGGAUGACGCCCUUCGGGGUGUAAACCGCUUUUCGGGGGGACGAAGAUCGUGACGGUACCCCCGGAAGAAGGCCCGGCUAACUACGUGCCAGCAGCCGCGGUAAGACGUAGGGGCCGAGCGUUGUCCGGAGUUACUGGGCGUAAAGGGCGCGCAGGCGGCCGGUCGCAUCGGCGGUGAAAGCCCCCCGCUCAACGGGGGAGGGUCCGUCGAGAUGGAUCGGCUGGAGGCAGGAGAGGGGCGGUGGAAUUCCGGGUGUAGUGGUGAAAUGCGUAGAGAUCCGGAGGAACACCAGUGGCGAAGGCGGCCGCCUGGACCUGACCUGACGCUGAGGCGCGAAGGCGUGGGGAGCGAACGGGAUUAGAUACCCCGGUAGUCCACGCAGUAAACGAUGGGCACGAGGUGUGGCGGGAGUUGACCCCUGCCGUGCCGGCGCUAACGCAGUAAGUGCCCCGCCUGGGGAGUACGGCCGCAAGGCUAAAACUCAAAGGAAUUGACGGGGGCCCGCACAAGCAGCGGAGCGUGUGGUUUAAUUCGACGCAACGCGCACCACCUUACCAGGGCUUGACGUCCGCGGAACCCGCCUGAAAGGGCGGGGUGCCUUCGGGAGCCGCGAGACAGGUGCUGCAUGGCUGUCGUCAGCUCGUGUCGUGAGAUGUUGGGUUAAGUCCCGCAACGAGCGCAACCCUCGUCGCUAGUUACCAUGGUGUGUCUAGCGAGACUGCCGGACCAAACCGGAGGAAGGUGGGGAUGAUGUCAAGUCAGCAUGGCCCUGACGCCCUGGGCGACACACACGCUACAAUGGCCGGGACAGUGGGCUGCCAAGCGGUAACGCGGAGCCAAUCCCCCAAACCCGGUCUCAGUUCGGAUUGAGGGCUGCAACUCGCCCUCAUGAAGGCGGAGUUGCUAGUAACCGCGGAUCAGCAUUGCCGCGGUGAAUAUGUUCCCGAGCCUUGUACACACCGCCCGUCACGUCACGGGAGCCGGCAACACCUGAAGUCGGUGGGCGAACCCUUCGGGGGCGCAGCCGCCGAGGGUGGGGUUGGUGACUGGGACGAAGUCGUAACAAGGUAGCCGUAGCGGAAGCUGCGGCUGGAUCACCUCCUU